UACGUAGGGGGCGAGCGUUGUCCGGAAUUAUUGGGCGUAAAGUGUGCGCAGGCGGCUUCGCAAGUCGAGUGUGAAAUCCCCGAGCUUAACUUGGGAAUUGCGCUCGAAACUACGGAGCUGGAGUGUGGCAGAGGAAGGUGGAAUUCCACGUGUAGCGGUGAAAUGCGUAGAGAUGUGGAGGAACACCGAUGGCGAAGGCAGCCUUCUGGGCCAAUACUGACGCUCAUGCACGAAAGCGUGGGGAGCAAACAGG
rnacentral:rRNA from 1 species